ensembl:lncRNA
GAACCAGAUUGUGUUCUUCAAUGAGUCCUUCACCUCGUCUAUACAGGACCGAUGGCACUUUGUUCCUAGAAACGGGACUAUAAUUAUCAACCCAGCAACAAAGAGAGACUCAGGAACAUACAGAGUAGAGAUCCACAAUGAAGAAACAGGGACAUUUGUGGCAAAUACCACAAUACAGCUGAUUGUUUUGGGUACACACAGUACUGUGAGAUCCAUUUUGACUGACAGGACCGACAACCCCAACAAGAUGGAAACACGUGUUUGUACACACAGUACUGUGAGAUCCAUUUUGACUGACAGGACCGACAACCCCAACAAGAUGGAAACACGUGUUUACUCGGCCCGUUCUGUAUCAGCUUCACUUGGCGUGGUCCUGCUGUGUGUGACUGUGUAUGGGGGAGUAUACUACGUCUGCCAGAAGAGGACACACACACCCAAACCAGAGCUGGAGUGCUGUGUGUAUGUUCAGGUUCAACGAGGACAGUGAGAGGAGGCUGGGUAUUGUUCUUCAAUCAUUCGAUGGCUCAGAUUUGUCUAAGAUUUUCUCUGCAUAGCUUUUUUCCGGCUCCACCCCGCCCCAAUACCAUGUAUUAUUCACAAUUAGCCUACCCCAGCCUCUUUUGUGGAUGCUAUAUUCUGGAUAUGCUCUUUUUCUCACUGUUAUAUUAAACUGUGGUC